UAGGGAAUCUUCGGCAAUGGACGAAAGUCUGACCGAGCAACGCCGCGUGAGUGAAGAAGGUUUUCGGAUCGUAAAACUCUGUUGUUAGAGAAGAACAAGGACGUUAGUAACUGAACGUCCCCUGACGGUAUCUAACCAGAAAGCCACGGCUAACUACGUGCCAGCAGCCGCGGUAAUACGUAGGGGGCAAGCGUUGUCCGGAUUUAUUGGGCGUAAAGCGAGCGCAGGCGGUUUCUUAAGUCGGAUGUGAAAGCCCCCGGCUCAACCGGGGAGGGUCAUUGGAAACUGGGAGACUUGAGUGCAGAAGAGGAGAGUGGAAUUCCAUGUGUAGCGGUGAAAUGCGUAGAUAUAUGGAGGAACACCAGUGGCGAAGGCGGCUCUCUGGUCUGUAACUGACGCUGAGGCUCGAAAGCGUGGGGAGCAAACAGG
rnacentral:rRNA from 1 species